GGCUGUAAUAAAGUAUACUAUGAUUACAAUGUCAUCUAGGAGAACGGCUGUAAAUAAGGUAUUAUAUAUAGUAUGAUUACAGUGUCAUCUAGGAGAACGGCUGUAAAUAAAGUAUACUAUGAUUACAAUGUCAUCUAGGAGAACGGCUGUAAAUAAAGUAUACUAUGAUUACAAUGUCAUCUAGGAGAACGGCUGUAAAUAAGGUAUAGUAUGAUUACAGUGUCAUCUAGGAAAACGGCUGUAAAUAAAGUAUAGUAUGAUUACAAUGUCAUCUAGGAGAACGGCUGUAAAUAAAGUAUAGUAUGAUUACAGUGUCAUCUAGGAGAACGGCUGUAAAUAAAGUAUAGUAUGAUUACAAUGUCAUCUAGGGGAACGGCUGUAAAUAAAGUAUACUAUGAUUACAAUGUCAUCUAGGAGAACGGCUGUAAAUAAAGUAUAGUAUGAUUACAGUGUCAUCUAGGAGAACGGCUGUAAAUAAAGUAUAGUAUGAUUACAGUGUCAUCUAGAACGGCUGUAAAUAAAG